UACGAAGGGGGCUAGCGUUGUUCGGAAUUACUGGGCGUAAAGGGCGCGUAGGCGGUUUUGUCAGUCAGGCGUGAAAGGCCCGGGCUCAACCUGGGGACUGCGCUUGAUACUGCGAGGCUUGAAUCCGGGAGAGGAUGGCGGAAUUCCCAGUGUAGAGGUGAAAUUCGUAGAUAUUGGGAAGAACACCGGUGGCGAAGGCGGCCAUCUGGACCGGGAUUGACGCUGAGGCGCGAAAGCGUGGGGAGCAAAC
rnacentral:rRNA from 1 species